rnacentral:rRNA from 1 species
CAGUAGCCGCGGGAAUACGUAGGGUGCGAGCGUUGUCCGGAAUUAUUGGGCGUAAAGAGCUUGUAGGCGGUUUGUCGCGUCUGCUGUGAAAAUUCAGGGCUUAACCCUGGACGUGCAGUGGGUACGGGCAGACUAGAGUGUGGUAGGGGAGACUGGAAUUCCUGGUGUAGCGGUGGAAUGCGCAGAUAUCAGGAGGAACACCGAUGGCGAAGGCAGGUCUCUGGGCCAUUACUGACGCUGAGAAGCGAAAGCAUGGGGAGCGAACAGGAUUAGAUACCCGCGUAGUCCCUGUCUCUUAUAC